CGCUGAACUGUUCCGCCGGGAUAGGUUCGGCAUGGAUGUUUUCACUGCACUCGAACAGGCUCAAAAUACCGGCACCGCUCAAUGGCUGGGGGGCGAGAACUUCAACGUUCUGUCAGCUGAGUGGCUGGGGUNNNNNNNNUCAGCCCGUCCUUGCCGGUCGAGGUAUUUCUCUCGCAUUUCUAGAAAUGGCUUUUCGAUGCAGUGAUAUGAAAGCGUCGAGAGGAGAAGAACCGCGACGAGCACGCCAAA
rnacentral:misc_RNA from 1 species